UACGGGGGGGGGGCAAGCGUUGUUCGGCCUUACUGGGCGUAAAGCGCGCGCAGGCGGUUCGUUAAGUCCGGUGUGAAAGCUCCCGGCUCAACUGGGAGAGGUCAUUGGAUACUGGCGGACUUGAGGGAUGCAGAGGAAGGUGGAAUUCCCGGUGUAGUGGUGAAAUGCGUAGAGAUCGGGAGGAACACCAGUGGCGAAGGCGGCCUUCUGGGCAUUUCCUGACGCUGAGGCGCGAAAGCGUGGGGAGCGAACCGG
rnacentral:rRNA from 1 species